UGGGUAACCUGCCCCUCUCUCUGGGAUAACCCCGGGAAACCGGAGCUAAUACCGGAUACUCCGGCUGGAUCGCAUGGUCCGGCCGGGAAAGGUCCGCCGGAGAGGGAUGGGCCCACGGCCUAUCAGCUUGUUGGUGGGGUCAUGGCUCACCAAGGCGACGACUGGUAGCUGGCCUGAGAGGACGACCAGCCACAUUGGAACUGAGACGCGGUCCAGACUCCUACGGGAGGCA
rnacentral:rRNA from 1 species